AGCAGCCGCGGUAAUUCCAGCUCCAAUAGCGUAUAUUAAAGUUGUCGCAGUUAAAAGCUCGUAGUAGAAUUUCGGGAUCAGUCCGCUGGUCGUGCCUCUGGUAUGUACUGGUGUUACUGGUUCCUCCCUUCUGACGAACUGUCAUGUCAUUAAUUUGGUGUGGCGGGGAAUCAGGACUGUUACUUUGAAAAAUUAGAGUGUUUAAAGCAGGCUCGCGCUUGAAUACAUUAGCAUGGAAUAAUGAAAUAGGACGUUCGAUCCUAUUUUGUUGGUUUCUAGGAUUGACGUAAUGAUUAAUAGGGAUAGUUGGGGGCAUUAGUAUUCAAUUGUCAGAGGUGAAAUUCUUGGAUUUUAUUGAAGACUAACUACUGCGAAAGCAUUUGCCAAGGAUGUUUUCAUUAAUCAAGAACGAAAGUUAGGGGAUCGAAGACGAUCAGAUACCGUCGUAGUCUUAACCAUAAACUAUGCGACUAGGGAUCGGAUGAUGUUAAAUUUUUAUGACUCAUUC
rnacentral:misc_RNA from 1 species